CAAGAGGAUGAAUCCUCUUUCAAGGCACUUGAAGUGUAGCAAAGGAAGUGGGACGGAGAGCCGGUGCCAAUCAAGCAAUCUGUGAUGCUGGAGAUUCGAGGAAAAGAAGAGGAGGUCGUCGUGGAGACAUCGAUGUUGAGGCAAAAAAAAAAAAAAAAAAGACAAUCCAUCUCUGUUACUUUACAGGUCAUCAUAGCAGCUUAUAAAAUCAGGAUUGAUUUGUGCGCACAUAACCAGCAGUCAAAAAUUAUUAGGAAGAGUUAUGAUCACAAAGAUUUGCUCAGAGAAUGAUCUCCCCCCCCCCACCCUUUUUUUUUUUUAAAUCGGAGAUCCUCAGUGCAGAUAUUGAUCUCAGUGCAGAUCCUUUUGUUCCCUGAAGUAAUAAAGAAGCCUAUUGAUUUAUUGGUGGGCGACGCGUACCUCUUUGCCUCCUCCUCGUCUGUUUUGUUCCGCUACCUGGACCCCUGACACCUUGAAAAAAAAAAAAAGUUUGCUUUCGUGCAAGCUUUUGACGAUGCCACUGCUUCAUGCACAUCCAGAUGACGUGUGUCAUUACAAUCAAGUAUUGACCGUGUAGAGAGUUUAAAAAUCGGAUGUCUUAAAAUGUUUUAGUAACAAGCUGAAUUCGCAGCAGAUAAUAAGAGAGAUCCUUCUCAUUUUUUUCUCGUUUAUUUAUGCUUAUUUUCUCAGCAGUUUCCCCAUUUCCAUGUAGCUAUUCCACAGCUGUCCACAAGGAGGCGGAGUGGCACUGGUGGCAUCGAGUAUAGCGUUUGAGCACCGAGGAAGAAGACGUUCUCCUUCUGCGAUGACAAGGGCUCAACGUCUGUCUCUCCUGUUCUUGCCUCGCAACAGAAUGGAUGCCGCGUGGAGUGGCGCCUCAAAAAGGCCAUGAAUCGCGGCGAGCUGCUCCCUGCAAAGAGAGCGUCUUCGUCCCCUAAAGUCAUGUCAUGAGGUAUGCGGGCGUGCUGGAGCUUAUCUCAGCUGGUCUUGGGUUUAGUGGGCCGGGGUACACCCUGAAGUGAUUGCCAGCCAAUCGCAGGGCUCACAAAAACACAUCUCGGGACAAUUUAGUGUGUUCCUCAUUCCAUAUUUGUCAAAAUCAUAUGUCAUGCGCUGCUUUUCUCAAAAAACGUAUGUGCGGUAUGAUAUCGAGAGUAACGUCGAGUGCAACUGCGACCGGUCUCGAUAAACAAACAGAACUCCAUACGCGUGCGUUUUUGAGUGCCGUUUAAAAUCAGAUGACGACAACGAGAUAAGCGGUUUGGGAAAAAUCAGUCCGCCGGCCGCUUUCUGUUACGUGUGUUUUAAUAUCAAUCGAUCUCCAAAAUAGGGACACCUCUGCAUUCUGGGGGUUCAUGGCAAGGGCACUGUGACUGAAGCAAAAGG